UAACACGUGGGUAACCUGCCUUAUAGUGGGGGAUAGCCUUUCGAAAGGAAGAUUAAUACCGCAUAAGAUUGUAGUAUCGCAUGAUAUAGCAAUUAAAGGAGCAAUCCGCUAUAAGAUGGACCCGCGUCGCAUUAGCUAGUUGGUGAGGUAAUGGCUCACCAAGGCGACGAUGCGUAGCCGACCUGAGAGGGUGAACGGCCACAUUGGGACUGAGACACGGCCCAGACUCCUACGGGAGGCAGCAUG
rnacentral:rRNA from 1 species